AUUGAACGCUUGCGGCAGGCCUAACACAUGCAAGUCGAACGAGUGGCGGACGGGUGAGUAAUGUCUGGGACACUGCCUGCUGGAGGGGGAUAACUACUGGAAAAGGUAGCUAAUACCGCAUAACAUCAGAUGACCCCAUGGGGGAUUAGCUUGUUGGUGGGGUAACGGCGCACCAAGGAGACGAUCCCUAGCUGGUCUGAGAGGAUGACCAGCCACAAUGGAACUGAGACACGGUCCAGACUCCUACGGGAGGCAGCAGUGGGGAAUAUUGCACAAUGGGCGAAAGCCUGAUGCAGCCAUGCCGCGUGUAUGAAGAAGGCCUUCGGGUUGUAAAGUACUUUCAGCGGGGAGGCGUUACCCGCAGAAGAAGCACCGGCUAACUCCGUGCCAGCAGCCGCGGUAAUAC
rnacentral:rRNA from 1 species